rnacentral:lncRNA from 1 species
CUCAAACGGCGCCCCAACCUCCUCCACCUUCUACUGUCGUUUACCACCCCGAUUAUUCCUCAUUCUUUCCUCUCACUCGAAUCUCACGUGCUUCAUCUCUCUCCAACAAAUGAAGGAUUGAUGGGGGUCGUAGGAUUAAGGGGGUUUAAUCCUCUUCGUCUAUCUGUCCCAAGUUAGUUGAUUUCAGAGAGAUUUUUCUCAUUUUUGGGGGAUUUUCAGAUUUAGAAGGUUCGAGAUUUCUGGAGAAAAGAAUAUAUAAGGUGAGGAUUUUCAUUCUUAAGGGAGGAUUUUUUUUGGGAAAAAGUUUGAGAAUAAAUUUCGGAGAGAGAUUUUGACAGAAAACUAGGGUUUUGUGCUUAGUUUCCUUUUGAUUUUUUUUCUCUGUUGUCUUGUCAAUCCUAGAGAAGAAAUACUAAAGAAUUUAGUUGUUAUUUUGUUACGAGUUUUGCUUCAAAAGAUCUGGACAAAAAAAUUCAAAAAAAAAAAGAAAAAUAGUUAUGUAUUUCAGUACUUCCUUUCAAUUCUAAAAAAGAAUGUUUCUAUUUUGAGUAAAUUAGCAUUUCAAUUCGAAAACAUAUACAAAAAAAAGUAUUCCAGUUUUUGUGUUUUGAUUUCGAGUCUCAAACAUGGGUGUUCGAAAGAGCUGCGAUCGUUUCUAGUUCGCAUUUGAAAAUACAUUUUCCAGUGAGGUUGAUUCUGUUCGAGGUUCAAGUUGUCCGUCCUUGAUUAGUUUACUGCCAUUCCAGGUUUGCGGACAAGUUUGUCACCGGACUAUCUUGUAAUCGCCUUCUGGCAAAUUAAUCGCAAACUCCCAUUCAGGUUCACAUCUUAUCUUACUAUGUUUAUGUAUGUAUGAAUCAAAGUAUGGUUGGAGCUUAAGAUAUGAAAGUUUAAAUUACAUGGUAUACUUAAGUGAGUGUUAGUGAAUGCCGGCUGUGAUCGAGCUAUUACCAGUUUAUGGAUUUUUGUUUUUUUAUAUGUUAAGGUGUUUAAUUUCUUUAUGUGUUUGAAAUAUGUUUUAAAGUUUGUACUUACUAGAUUUUUACAUGAAUGACUGAUCUUCUAGUCCGCUCUGUGAUUGAUAGGCGAGACAUGUUACUAUUGUGCUUAUUUUUGGUUAUUAGAAGAAUUUCUUGCACAUCUCGAUUCCAAAUUGGAUUCACAAUAAUGUUAAUCAGUGAUUCCUAUUAUAUCCAAACAUCUUGAUUAGUUUAACAUGACAUAUCCAUUAGAGCAUGCCAUUAUGUGUAGGAUUGAAGGAGUCUAUGUUAGUCGUGAAUCAGCGACUUUGGUGUAGCCUUUAAUUGUUUGAAUGAACCCAGUGCACCCAGAAUAGUAAGGUUUGCUACUUAAAGACUUAGUUUCAUUUGUUUACUUUCAUUAACUAUGGAUUCUUACGUUUGAUAUUUCCUAUCUCAAUUUAAAGGUUGAUCUCCAGAAGAUUACUUUUUCUGUUGUUCCUUCUAAUUUUCAUAAUGCCCGUGUGAUGCUCAUUACCACUCUUUAGUGCUGAUUAGUAUAAUUAAAUAACUUUUCUUUUGGUGUAAAUGAAUAGUAAAGUAGCUUCUGUUCUUGAGUUGUAUGGUUAAUGAUAGUUGUUCUUUUGUUAAUAUGUAAAGAAAUGAAUGCCUGCAACUUAAGGAGAUUUACCAUUCUGAAAUUUAGUGUAUCUAAGGCCUAAAUAUGGAUCUGUCUAAGUACAAUUUGAACCAUUUAUUAGCAUUUGCUUUGGUUUAGUUUUAAAAUGCAAACUUCAUGUUAGCUGGGCGUAUUCCAGCAUUUGGCUUGGUUUAACUAUUUAUUUUUUGGUAGUAGACAUUUGCUCAUAUGAUGUUCCAGCAGUCGGUAUUGUGUUUUAAAUCGAAUGGACAGUCUAUUGAAUCUUGCUCUUAUAUUUCCUUAUUGGCAUGCUUUAUUUUAUCUGCUCUAUAGAAUCAUUGUUAUGUUAGGGAUCAUGUGUUGUAUUCUUUCCUUAGGGUGGUGUUGUCUGUUGAAGUUGUCAUACUCAUAGCGGCGAACUAAUACUUACUAUGUGGCGCAUUUGAGUUGGUUCAAUGCUCUGAUCUUUGUAUUACUGGAGUUGGCAUUAAGAAGUUGCCACUAUAUAUUUGAUAAUUAACGUGUUCCUGAUACUGCAAUACAAUAAGAUUUCAUAUUGUGGACAAACUUUUGUACAUUAUUGAACAAUUUUGGGCAAAACAGUCUUAAUAAUAAUAAAAUGCUAUUAAUUGUGUACACAUCCACGUGACACGAGUACGUUUUUUUUUAAAAUGAAUAUUCAUAGAAAAUGCUUUAGGUGCGACUUAAUCGAAUCAUCGUGAUUGUGUACAUGUUCGCGUGACAUAAUUACGAUUGUUUUUUAAUAAAUAAAUAAAUAAAUUAAGGUAUGCGUUCGCGCAACUUUGGCCAAACUUUCUUAAUAAUAAUAAUAAAGUGUGAUUAAUUAUGGACACGUACACGUGACAUGAUUUUUGAUGCGCCAAACAAAUGGUACACAUACGCCUGACCUGUUUUAAGAUAAUUUUGUAAUUAAAAAAGGUAAAUGCACAUAAGUUUUAAAAUAAGUAAUUAAACAACUUAAUCCAAGUAUAAAUUGCUAAGCGACCGUGCUAGAACCACGGAACCUGGAAAUCCCUAACAUCUUCUCCCGGGUUAACAGAAUUCCUUAUCUAGAAUUUCUGGUUUGCAGACUUUUAAAUAAAGUCAAAAAUUUCCUCGAUUUGGGAUUUAAAAAUAAACCGGUGACUUGGGACAUAAAAAAUAAAUUAUUCCAAGUGGCGACUCUGAAAAAUUAAAUAAAAUAACCACAUCUCGAAUAAUGUCACUUUAAUUGGAAAAACUCCCAUAGACCCUCGAUAUGUCACGACCCAAAACACGACCGGUCAUGAUAGCGCUUAUCGAUGAUACUAGGCCAACCAACAUUUCCAAAAUGCUUUCAACAAUAACCAGAAAUAAAUCAAGACUUUACAAUUAACUAAAAUCUUUGCCAUAAAAAGGGAGUGAACCCCAUAACAUAAGUGCGGAAAUAAAGUCCGACAUCGGGGUGUCACUAGUCAUAAGCAUCUAACAUAAUCGAUCCAAAAAUAACAAGACUAACAUAGUCUGGAAUCCAAAAUACAGCAAAACAAGGAAAUAUAGGGAAGAAGAAAGCAGGGUUGCGAAUGCCGGCAGCUGCCUCGUGAUCUCCAAUGACCAGCUACGAGUACUAUCAACAACCUCCGCGUCUAAUAACUCCUGAAUCUGCACACGAGGUGCAUGGAGUAACAUAAGUAUACCAACUCAAUAAGUACCAAUAAUAAAUAAGGAACUGAAGAUAGUGACGAGCAACCCAGUUUUAGUUCAUUUUUCAAUAAUUUCAGAAAGGAAAAUAGUCAUGCUUUCCAAGUUCCGGUAAUUCAAGUCAAAUUAGUUUAUUUUAGUCAAGUUCAAGUAAAAUCAGAUAAGACUAUCUUUCAACUAUUUUAAAAACAUGGAUAUAACGCAACUGUGUCAUCAGUAAUGUAAUCAUAUAUUGCCUCUCGGGCAAUCAUCUCCCAGUCCUCCCAAUAACUCCAACCUCAUAAUCACUCAUUCCUCUCAAUCACUCAUUCCUCACAAUCACUCAACACUCGGCACUCACACUCAGUAGGUACCUGCGCUCACUGGGGGUGUGCAGACUUUGGAGGGGCUCCUUCAGCCCAAGCUCUAUAGCAAGCCAAUCAUGGCAUAAAUCAAUCAGGCCCUCGGCCUCACUCAAGCAUAAAUCAAUAAAACAUGCUGUGGCGUGCAGUCCGAUCCCAUAAAUAUCCUCACAAUCAGGCCCUCGCCCUCACUUAGUCAUCAAUAUCUGUAGUCUCUCGGACUCUCAAGUAUUAGGAAAAUCAGCCCAAACAACAAUAACAUGAUGCAUCGAAUAGAAUAACAGAGACUGAGAUAUGAUAUGCGAGUAAAAACUGUGACUGAGUACAAAUAACAUUUAACAGGCAAUUCAACAUGAAACACGGCCCCUAUGGGACCCAACAGUACCAACAUAUAGCCUAAACAUGGUUUCUAACAUGAUUUACAGUCAAUUUUUCAUAACACAUAGAGAGCAUAUAGCUAACAGUAUGUCGUUCAACUUUACAGUUCUACGGGACGGACCAAGUCACAAUCCCCUGGGUGCAUGCUAACACGUCCGUCACCUAGCAUGUGCGUCACCUCCAUAAUAGUCAGAAGACACAAUGUCCAUGUUUCAUACACUCAGGACCAGAUUUACAACUAUUACUUACCUCAAUCCGAGCAAAAUCCGAUGCCUUUGUCUCUCGAAUCGGCCUCAAAACAUCCCAAAUCUAGCCAAAAGCAAUACAAUACAAUCAAUAUAUUCCAAGGAACCAAUACCACAGGAAAAACUACUAAAUUGGACUCCAAUCCUGAAAUUGGCUCAAACUCGGCCUCCGGGCCCACGUCUUGAAAUUCGACAAAAGUCACAAAACUAGAAAGCCCAUUUACUCACGAGUCUAACCAUACCAAAUUUACCAAAAUCCGACCUUAUUUGGUCACUCAAAACUCCAAAGUUCACUCUAAAAAAUCCCAAGCCCUAACCCCAAAUUUUCACUUCAAAACCCCACUAAUUAGAUGAGAAAUCAACGGGAAAAUACAAUAGCUAAGGGUACUUAGGUUCAAGGGACUUACCUCAGUGAAAAUCUUUGAAUCUCCUUCAAAAAUCACCUCAAAAGCUCCAAGGUCCAUGUAGAAAAUGGUAGAAAUGAGGAAAAAUCACGAAGUCCUCUAUUUAUACAUUCUACCCAGCGAAGCCGCACCUGCGGUCCCUUCACCGCAUCUGCAGACCAAGCUUCGCUUCUGCAGAAAUCAUUUACAACCCUUGGGACCGCUUCUACGCCUCUAGACCGCAUUUGCGGUCAUCGUAGGUGCGGAAAAACCAUUGCACCUGGAGUCCGAACACGCACCUGCGCCCCAAAAUCCGCUUCUAGGACCAUCGCAGGUGCAGGAACUUCAUCGCACCUGCGCCCUCUGCCUUGCUCCUCCGAUCUCAUAUCUGCUAUCUAUCGCUCACUGCUGCGGGCUCACACCUGCGAUGAGACAUCCGCAGGUGCGAUUAUGACAGGUGAGUUCAACUUCACCAACUCCUCCAAUUUCCAAACUUGUUCCGUUAAUCACCCGAAAUCAACCCGAGACCCUCGGGACCUCAACCGAACAUAACAACAUAUUCCAUAACGUCAUACAAACUUAGUCGAACCUUCGAAUUAUCCAAAACAACAUCAAAACACCAAAUUACACUAGGAUUCAAGCCUAAGAACUUCUAAACAUUUGAAUUCCACAAAUGAUGCUGAAACCCGCUAAACCAUGUCCGAAUGACCUCAAAUUUUUUACACAAGUCAAAAAGGAACCACUAACUUAUUCCAACUUUCAGAAUUCCAUUCCGACCCUGAUAUCAAAAUUUCCACUACCGACCAAAAUCGCUAAAAUUCUAACCUUCGCCAAUUCAAGCCUAAUUCUACCACAGGCAUCCAAAUCACAUUCCGAAUGUGCUCCCAAGUCUAAAAGUACCUAAUGGAGCUAACAGAACCAUCAAAAUUCAAAUAUGAGAUCAUUUAUACAUAAGUCAACAUCUGGUCAAUUUUUCCAACUUAAACUUCGUCCUAAGAGACUAAGUGUCUCAAUUUACUCCAAAACCACUCCGGACCCGAACCAACUGACCCGGUAAGACAUAAUACAGCUGAAGAACACAAGUGAAGCAGAAAAAAGGGGAACAGGGCUGUAACUCUCGAAACAACCGACCGGGUCGUUACAUCCUCUCCAUCUUAAACAAACGUUUGUCCUCGAACGGGUCUAGAAACAUAUCCGGAGCCUCAAAUAGGUGUGGAUAUUUGCUCCGCAUCUCCCGCUCAGUCUCCCAAGUAUCCUUCUCCAUGAGCUGACCUCUCCACUGCACUUUCACUGAAGCUAUAUCCUUUGAUCUCAACUUUUGGACAUGCCGCUCCAAAAUGGCCACCGGAUCCACAUCAUAAGUUAAAUCAUCAUCCAACUGAACCAUGUUGAAAUCCAAAACAUGAAAUGGAUCGCCGAUGUACUUCUGAAGCAUAGAAACAUGAAAUACUGGAUGCACAUUCGAUAAGCUAGGCGGCAAAGCAAGCUCAUAGGCCAUCUCCCCAAUCCUCCAAAGCACCUUAAAUGGCCCAAUAAACUGAGGGCUUAACUUGCCCUUCUUUCCAAACCUCAUAACACCCUUCAUGGGUGAAACCUUCAGUAGAACCUUCUCCCCAACCAUAUAAGACACAUCACAUACCUUCCUGUCAGCAUAACUCUUUUGCCUUGACUGUGUUGUGCGAAGCUACUCUUGGAUCACUUUCACCUUAUCCAAAGCAUCCUGAACCAAGUCGGUACCCAGAAGCCUAGCCUCAUCCGGCUCAAAACAACCCACUAGGGAUUUACAUCGCCUCCCAUAUAAAGCCUCAUACAGAGCCAUCUGAAUGCUCAACUGAUAACUGUUGUUGUAGGCAAAUCCUGCGAGUGGUAGAAACUGGUCCCAUGAACCACCAAAUCAAUGACACACGUACAUAACUUGUCCUCUAAUAUCUGAAUAGUGCGCUAGGACUGUCCGUUCGUCUGAGGAUGAAAUACUGUGCUCAACUCAACCUGAGUGCCUAACUCUCACUGCACGACUCUCCAAAACUGCAAUGUAAACUACGUGCCUCUGUCUGAAAUGAUGGAAACUAGCACACCGUGAAGGCGAACAAUCUUUUUGAUAUAAAUCUCUGCCAACCGGUCUGAAGAAUAGGUAGUACUUAAAGGAAUGAAGUGCGUGGACUUGGUCAGUCGAUCUAAAAUCACCCAAAUAGUAUUGUACUUCCUCGAAGUACGUGGGAGCCCAACUAUGAAAUCCAUGGUGGUCCGCUCCCACUUUCACUCUGGAAUCUCUAUCUGCUGAAGCAAGCCACCCGGCCUCUAAUGCUCAUAUUUCACCUGUUGACAGUUGAGACACCUGUGAGCACGUGAUUUUUGUUUACGCGAUAAUCAUUCCAAAAAGAAAUAAAAAUAAUGGCAAAUGGUCUUGCUGUACAAGUUUUGGAUUUUACGUGGCGUUCUUGUUAGUUAUUCGUGAUCUUGUUCGUUUUUAUCAAACAAAAUACAAAAAAUGUGCGUCGUGUAUAGUUGGACCAUAAUCCGGUUAUUUAAAGGAAAAUCACAAAAUAUGCAUCUUUUGUCCUAUUUGCUUCCUUAGCGUGAUUUUACCUACUUUAAAUAUUUUAAUAUGUGUGUAAUAAUUACAUUAAGUGUUAAUUAAUGGUGGUUAAUUUUUAUUUAAUUAGGUUUUGUGUUUAAAAAUUAGAAAUAAAUGAAAAGGGUGCAAUUUGUUUUAAAUAAAUUUGGGCUGGUUCCCCAUUUUAAAAUUUGAGGCCCAAACGAGCAGCACAAGCCACCGGUCCAGCAGACCCAUCUCGAAGCCUCCAAACGACGUAGUUUGACACCAAAACUACGUCGUUUCAGUGGGGCAACUCAUCCCAGCCACUAGAGCAACCCUGAUCUAACGGCCCUCAUCAUAUCCCCCGUACCCACAAAAUAAACCCGACCCAAUGAAACCCGGUCUGACCUAUCCCAGCAUGAGAACAAACGACACCGUUUGUUUAGUGGAAAGAUCACAGCCGUUGAUCAGUGGCGAUCCAACGGCCAACAUCAGAUCACUUACCCCGUAUAUAAACCUUCCCCCUUCACCCCGCGCCUAAGCCAGACCCCCCCUGCUUUAGGUCGUCUCCUUCACAGAUCCCAAACCCCACGAAACCCUAGCCGCCCCCUUUCCCCUCACCAUUAAUCCCGGCGGCAUGGAUGCCGGUGACCCCCACCUUAACACCAUAGGACCGCCUCACCAACCUGAACCUAGAUCUGUUUUCCUUUUGCUUCGAAUCAGUCCCUAGGCUCUCGAAUCUUCAUUUGAAGAUUCCAGCAGAACUCCCAUCUACACCGAUCAACCCCAGUUUCACACCAGACAGUCCCCGGACCUCCCUCGUGACCAAACCAUGCUUGGUUUGGUCCGAAUCUAACUAAGGAAACCCAAAUCUGCCCUCUAGGAACCCUAGGAAUCCUCAUGCCUGGUCUGUGUCCGUUUGAGCCAAGUGAUUAGGGUCUAAUGGACCUUAAUCGAAGUGUUCUCAGUUGAGAACACUUCGAUUAAAGUCCGUUCAACCCCGAGAAAGGUCUAUUCAAAUCCGAGCUAAGGCUUUCUGAUUUUUCAAGGCUUUAGGGUAAGUUUGUUUUUCUUUUUCUUUAUUCAGUUCAUGUGUUUGUUAAAGGUCUGUUCGUAUGGCUAAAUGUUUAGUUUAUUUUUUUUUAAUUGUUUGUCGACUGUCCCUGUCCACCUUGCCCGGACCUCUGUAUUUGGUCUAGUCCUUCUUCAUUCACUGAUUAAUGUGUGUGUAUGUAAACUGCAUAAUCGACUGAAUUGAAAUUGGUUAAGUAAUCAAUUCCCAAGGUCAUCUUUGUUUUGACAGUGCAAUCUGAACCCUUUGUGCAAUACUGUUUGAUUCCAAUCCUUGGCUAUUGAUUGUAUAUGUUAUAAUUAGUAUAGUCGAUUCGAUAUGUGUCGUCGACUAGUUUCAGCUGUUUGAAUGAUAACAAUUUGAUUUGUUUUCCUGCUAAACUUUGUCUGAAUCAAAUUAAGAAUCGAGUAUAGCUACUUAUAGUUGUUGUAUUUGAGUCAGAAAUGUAAGGAUUUGGUUUGUUUAGUUGCAGUCUGAAUUGAUGGCAUGUGCACUUGUGCACAACAUGUGCAUUAAGGCUAUUUUUAAUAUUAAAAUAGUUUGACAGCAUAUGCUGUCAGAUUAUAUUCUUGCUGCCCAUGUCUGCUUUUAGUUUAAUAAAAUGAUAAAGGGGACUGUCAGGGAAUGUCAUGGGAGGGGUUUUUAUUUUAAGUAGUUGAGUGGAAAGAAAAGAGACCACAUGGGGGGUUCUGAUGUGUUUAACAGGCUGUGAAUAGCCUGAUGUUAGGCUAUAAAAAGAGGCAGAAUUUCCAUUAGUGAGGGGACUGGAUUUUGAGACCAGAUAUAGAUUUAGAAAAGAGAGAGAUUCACUGAAUUUUAAAAGAAGGGAGACUGACUAUCUUUAGACAGACAUAUUCAAAAAAAGAUACAUAGAGAGAAAUAGAGAGACAUACACACAUUGAGAGAAAAACACAGAUAGAUAGAGAGGUUAAGAGAUAGAAAACAUACAGAUAACAAUCAGGAACUGUUUAUUCCUACUGUUGUGUGGGUUUCAUUUGUUCAACCUGUUCAAUCAAUUCUGAUUUCUUCCAAGUCUCAACUAAGUUUACUGGUUGUGGUUUGCAUUGGUUUGUUUUCCUGGACUUGAUCUGUCUUGGAGCUCUGUUUCUACUGCACUGCUUGCUGUUGUUAUUUUGUUACUGUUUUUUCCAUCGGCUAUAGUUGCAUCUUGCACUGGGAUUUGUCCUGUCGUUAUCUGCUGUUACUGCUGCUGCUUCUGUUGCCAUUGCUACUCUACUGACUUCUCUUCUUCUUCAAUUGUAAGCAUUUCCAGGUACACACUUCUGAAACCAUGUGUUGUUGAAAGCUUGAAGUUUGAAGUAGAAAUAAAGAAAUGAAUGUUGUUUACUUUACAAUACCUGUAUUCAAAAACAUAGCAAUAGGUUGAAUGGUAGUUAGCCUGUAUUUGUUUAAGUUCAUUCCAUCUACAAUUACUCUGUAUGAAUUAACACACAUCCUAACCGAGGUGGACUACUAGAUAGUAUUAUUGUUAGGUCAGAUGUAUCGGGAGAUGAUGUACUUGUUAGAUCAGUUUAUAGCUCAUUAAAUAUACAUUUGCGCAAUAUGUACUUAAUAGAAGUUUAGUCUAUUUAACACUAUGUGGUUAUAGUUGUUAAAUUGUCUGUAUGAC